rnacentral:rRNA from 1 species
UACGUAGGGGGCGAGCGUUGUCCGGAAUCAUUGGGCGUAAAGCGCGCGUAGGCGGCAGGGCAAGUCGGCCGUGAAAUCUCCCAGCUUAACUGGGAGGGUCGGGCGAGACUGCCCCGCUAGAGGCGGGUAGAGGGCAGUGGAAUUCCGGGUGUAGUGGUGGAAUGCGUAGAGAUCCGGAGGAACACCAGUGGCGAAGGCGGCUGCCUGGGCCUGGCCUGACGCUGAGGCGCGAAA